rnacentral:rRNA from 1 species
GUGCCAGCAGCCGCGGUAAUACGUAGGGUGCGAGCGUUAAUCGGAAUUACUGGGCGUAAAGCGUGCGCAGGCGGUGAUGUAAGACAGAUGUGAAAUCCCCGGGCUCAACCUGGGAACUGCAUUUGUGACUGCAUCGCUGGAGUGCGGCAGAGGGGGGAUGGAAUUCCGCGUGUAGCAGUGAAAUGCGUAGAUAUGCGGAGGAACACCGAUGGCGAAGGCAAUCCCCUGGGCCUGCACUGACGCUCAUGCACGAAAGCGUGGGGAGCAAACAGGAUUAGAUACCCUGGUAGUCCACGCCCUAAACGAUGUCAACUGGUUGUUGGGAAUUAGUUUCUCAGUAACGAAGCUAACGCGUGAAGUUGACCGCCUGGGGAGUACGGCCGCAAGGUUGAAACUCAAAGGAUUGACGGGACCCGCACAAGCGGUGGAUGAUGUGGUUAA